GCGGAGUAUAAACUAAUGGAUAGGUUUUUUCCACUCAUUGGUACAAACUCCAAAACUUCUUCCAAAUUCGACCUCAAAUCAGGUAGGACUACCCGCUGAACUUAAGCAUAUCAAUAAGCGGAGGAAAAGAAACCAACAGGGAUUGCCUUAGUAGCGGCGAGUGAAGCGGCAAAAGCUCAAAUUUGAAAUCUGGCACUUUCAGUGUCCGAGUUGUAAUUUGAAGAAGGUAUCUUUGGGUCUGGCUCUUGUCUAUGUUUCUUGGAACAGAACGUCACAGAGGGUGAGAAUCCCGUGCGAUGAGAUGUCCCAGACCUAUGUAAAGUUCCUUCGAAGAGUCGAGUUGUUUGGGAAUGCAGCUCUAAGUGGGUGGUAAAUUCCAUCUAAAGCUAAAUAUUGGCGAGAGACCGAUAGCGAACAAGUACAGUGAUGGAAAGAUGAAAAGAACUUUGAAAAGAGAGUGAAAAAGUACGUGAAAUUGUUGAAAGGGAAGGGCUUGAGAUCAGACUUGGUAUUUUGUAUGUUACUCUCUCGGGGGUGGCCUCUACAGUUUACCGGGCCAGCAUCAGUUUGAGCGGUAGGAUAAGUGCAAAGAAAUGUGGCACUGCUUCGGUAGUGUGUUAUAGUCUUUGUCGAUACUGCCAGCUUAGACUGAGGACUGCG
rnacentral:sRNA from 1 species